rnacentral:rRNA from 1 species
GAUGAACGCUGGCGGCGUGCCUAACACAUGCAAGUCGAGCGAUCUUCUUCGGAAGAGAGCGGCGGACGGGUGAGUAACGCGUGGGUAACCUGCCCUGUACACACGGAUAACAUACCGAAAGGUAUGCUAAUACGAGAUAAUAUGCUUUUAUCGCAUGGUAGAAGUAUCAAAGCUUUUGCGGUACAGGAUGGACCCGCGUCUGAUUAGCUGGUUGGUAAGGUAACGGUUUACCAAGGCGACGAUCAGUAGCCGACCUGAGAGGGUGAUCGGCCACAUUGGAACUGAGACACGGUCCAAACUCCUACGGGAGGCAGCAGUGGGGAAUAUUGCACAAUGGGCGAAAGCCUGAUGCAGCAACGCCGCGUGAGCGAUGAAGGCCUCGGUUCGGUAAA